rnacentral:tRNA from 1 species
AGGUAGAGUGACCCGAUAGUUUAGGUGGCAGGCUGUAGUCCUGUUUACAUGGGUUUAAGUCCUGUUUCUAUC